AUACAGAAGAGUGAAGUACUACCAGUCAAACGGUAGUGGCGCCACACACUAAAGCCAUAAUAUGACCAAAAGUCAAGUUGCUUCCACAUCAUAUCACAUCCAUGUUCGCGGAAUUUAAUAUCCAUAGCAAAUUCCAUAAUUUGAUUACAAGAAAAACUAAUGGUUAUUUCUAAUUUGAGAAUAGCUCGUAGAUACUUUUACAAGAUUUUGCUUCAUUUUGGUAUUUUUCUUUAUUCAUACAUUAAUCUCAUAAAAUAUUUAUUGUACUUUUAAAACAUGUAUAUGAUAUAAAAUUUGAUAUGAUACUAACAUUUAUUAUGUAAAACUGUGCAAUAAAAAAUAGUUACGGAGGUA